UACGUAGGGUGCGAGCGUUGUCCGGAAUUAUUGGGCGUAAAGGGCUCGUAGGCGGUUUGUCGCGUCGGGAGUGAAAACUCAGGGCUUAACCCUGAGCCUGCUUCCGAUACGGGCAGACUAGAGGUAUGCAGGGGAGAACGGAAUUCCUGGUGUAGCGGUGAAAUGCGCAGAUAUCAGGAGGAACACCGGUGGCGAAGGCGGUUCUCUGGGCUA
rnacentral:rRNA from 1 species